GGGUCGAUGGUCUAGCUUGGCUAUGAUUCCUGGUUUGGGUCCAGGGGAUCGGGAGUUCAAAUCUCCCUCGGCCCACCA
rnacentral:tRNA from 1 species